rnacentral:misc_RNA from 1 species
GAUGAAGAACGUAGCGAAAUGCGAUACGUAAUGUGAAUUGCAGAAUUCAGUGAAUCAUCGAAUCUUUGAACGCACAUUGCGCCUGCCAGCACUCUGGCAGGCAUGCCUGUUCGGGCGUCAUUUCAACCAUCAAGCCCUAGGCUUGCGUUGGAGCCCUGCGGCUGCCGCAGGCCCCUAAAAGCAGUGGCGGGCUCGCUAUCACACCGAGUGCAGUAGAUUACUCUUCGCUCAGGGCGUGUGGCGGGUUCCAGCCGUGAAACCCCCUACUUCUCAAGGUUGACCUCGGAUCAGGUAGGAAUACCCGCUGAACUUAAGCAUAUCAUAAGCGGAGGA